rnacentral:rRNA from 1 species
UACGUAGGUGGCGAGCGUUAUCCGGAUUUAUUGGGUUUAAAGGGUGCGUAGGCGGAUAUGUAAGUCAGCGGUGAAACUCACAGGCUCAACCUGUGCCGUGCCGUUGAAACUGUGUAUCUGGAAUGCGGAUGCUGUGGGAGGAAUGUGUAGUGUAGCGGUGAAAUGCAUAGAUAUUACACAGAACACCGAUUGCGAAGGCAUCUCACAAAGCCGUUAUUGACGCUGAGGCACGAAAGUGUGGGGAUCAAACA